UACAGAGGGUGCGAGCGUUGUCCGGAAUCACUGGGCGUAAAGGGCGUGUAGGUGGUUUUCGUAAGUCUGGCGUGAAAUUUCUCGGCUUAACCGAGGCAGGUCGUCGGAUACUGCGGAACUAGAGGACGGUAGAGGCGUGUGGAAUUCCGGGUGUAGUGGUGAAAUGCGUAGAUAUCGGAAGGAACAUCAGUGGCGAAAGCGACUUCCUGGACCAAUACUGACGCUCAUGUGCGAAAGCGUGGGGAGCAAACAGG
rnacentral:rRNA from 1 species